AUAUUAAUAAGCGGAGGAAAAGAAACUAACAAGGAUUCCCCUAGUAACUGCGAGUGAAGCGGGAAAAGCUCAACGUUAAAAUCGGUGCGGCAAGCGCUGUAUCGAAUUGUAAUCUAAAGAUGCAACGUCAGCGAUGACCUCGGUAUAAAUCCUUUGGAAUAGGGUAUCAUAGAGGGUGAGAAUCCCGUCUUUGACCGAGAGUUCGUCGCGUACGACUUGUAUUCCAAGAGUCGAGUUGUUUGGGACUGCAACUCUAAAUGGGUGGUAAAUUUCAUCUAAAGCUAAAUACCAACGAGAGACCGAUAGCGCACAAGUA
rnacentral:rRNA from 1 species